rnacentral:sRNA from 2 species
CUUGAUCAGAGUUUCUGGACUUUCAGAUCAUCCACGGGAGGGUGCGCCCACUUUCACGCCCCCUCACCAAAGCU